rnacentral:rRNA from 1 species
AUUGAACGCUGGCGGCAGGCCUAACACAUGCAAGUCGAGCGAGCGGCGGACGGGUGAGUAAUGUCUGGGAAACUGCCUGAUGGAGGGGGAUAACUACUGGAAACGGUAGCUAAUACCGCAUACCAUCAGAUGUGCCCAGAUGGGAUUAGCUAGUAGGUGGGGUAACGGCUCACCUAGGCGACGAUCCCUAGCUGGUCUGAGAGGAUGACCAGCCACGCUGGAACGGAGACAGGGUCCAGACUCCAACGGGAGGCGGCAGUGGGGAAUAUUGAGCAAUGGGCGCAAGCCUGAUGCGGCCAGGCCGGGUGUGUGAAGAUGGCCUUCGGGUUGUAAAGCACUUUCAGCGGGGAGGCGUUACCCGCAGAAGAAGCACCGGCGAACUCCGUGCCAGCAGCCGCGUGAAUU